rnacentral:lncRNA from 1 species
UGCUUUUAUCUCAGACUUAUUUCCCCUUAUCUUCUGUCUCCCACCUAGAAUCCCUCCUUGCAAUGAGGAACAACAUUUAAACAAAGCCAGAAAAAACAGAAUUCUAUCUAACAGCCUAAGCAUAGUCCUCUCCUGAGAGGAGGGGUGUGGAUUUCAUUAUCAAUUCUAAAGACAAACCUUGGCUUUGAGGACUAAACCAACCAGCCUGAAACCUCUUCAAGAAGACAGGAAUACUCAGAAGAUGCAGAAUCUUUGGAAAAGAAAAAUAAAAGUCAUCUAUGAUGAUUCUGAUGGUACAGAAAGGGCAUGAAAAGAUGAAGAAAAGUACUCCACAGGAUAUGUUCCAGUGCCCACUGGGAGACCUCCAAUGCGCAGGAGGCUGGUGGCAGCUGAGUCAAACUAUCUUCUUCCAAAGUGAAUGGGUUUUAGGCCCCGGCCAUGAAUCUGGAGAAAGGGAAGGAAUAGAAACAGAACCUCUUUCAUGGCUGAGUGAUUAAGAAAAGAUACCCACCAUGGGCUAAAUGUUAGGCUAGAUGGGAUGAUACAAAC